AUACAUUGGUCGCAUGGUGGUGUGUGGAAAGAUUUUUGGUGGGGGAUGGACUCGCGGCUAUCAGGCUUGUUGGUGAGGUAGUGGCUUACCAAGGGCUUUGACCGGGUAGCCGGCCUGAGAGGGUGACCGGCCACACUGGGACUGAGACACGGCCCAGACUCCUACGGGAGGCAGCAGUGGGGAAUAUUGCACAAUGGGCGGAAGCCUGAUGCAGCGACGCCGCGUGAGGGAUGACGGCCUUCGGGUUGUAAACCUCUUUCACCAGGGACGAAGCUUUUGUGACGGUACCUGGAGAAGAAGCACCGGCUAACUACGUGC
rnacentral:rRNA from 1 species